AAUUUUGGACAAUGGGGGAAACCCUGAUCCAGCCAUCCCGCGUGUAUGAUGAAGGCCNNNGGGUUNUAAAGUACUUUUGGCAGNGACNAAAAGGUAUCUCCUAAUACGAGGUACUGCUGACGGUAUCUGCAGAAUAAGCACCGGCUAACUACGUGCCAGCAGCCGCGGUAAUACGUAGGGGGCAAGCGUUGUCCGGAAUUAUUGGGCGUAAAGGGUGCGUAGGCGGCUUUUUAAGUCAGAUGUGAAAGACCACGGCUUAACCGUGGGGUUGCAUUUUUAACUGCCGAGCUAGAGUAUGUCAGAGGGGGGUAGAAUUCCACGUGUAGCAGUGAAAUGCGUAGAUAUGUGGAGGAAUACCGAUGGCGAAGGCAGCCCCCUGGGAUAAUACUGACGCUCAGACACGAAAGCGUGGGGAGCAAACA
rnacentral:rRNA from 1 species